CGCGACGCUCCGGCGGCGGCGGGGCUGGCGGACGGGCGGGGGCUCUCUCGGCGCGGAGCUUUUGCGCUGCGGCCCCAGGAGCUCCGGCGGCGGCGUUGGCGUUAGCAGCAGCGCUCCGGCCGGGGAAGAAGGUGCCAGACUCCGGCGUCGCGUGCGGGUAACGAGGAGGAGCGGAGCGGCUGCUGAGGCGGCCGGAGGAGGAGGAGGAGGAGAAGGUGGAGGAAGGGAGUGGGGAGCAGCGCCGCUUGGUCGGCCCAGCGGUGCUGCUGCCGCCGCCACUUCCCCGCUGGGCGCUCCCCUACCCGCGAACUCGAUCCGCUCCCGGAAACUCUCGGCUCUCCUCUCAGUCUCGCCGGCGGGGUCUCGACGCGGCUGUCGGUCCCGGCGAGGCGGGCGGGGGGCAACUUCUCGCACUUCUCCGGAGAAGGAUUUGGGCCGCCCCGCUCCGGGGGCAGCGCCUGCGGUCCCCGCCGCCGCGGGAGAACUUUAGCCUCCGAUCGCGGGGCGGCGAGAGGGACCCGGGUACGCCGGCCGCGGCGGGAGCAGCGCGGCGGCGGCGGCGGCGGCCCGGCAGCCGCGGAGAUGAAGCUGAGCCGGCAGUUCACGGUGUUCGGUAGUGCGGUCUUCUGCGUGGUGAUCUUCUCCCUGUACCUGAUGCUGGACCGCGGCCACUUCGACCACCCGAAGAGCCCCCGGCGGGAGGGCACCUUCCCCAAGGGCCAGCUUUCAAUAUUGCAAGAAAAAAUAGAUCAUUUAGAGCGCCUGUUGGCAGAAAAUAAUGAGAUUAUUUCAAACAUACGCGAUUCUGUGAUCAAUCUGAGUGAAUCAGUAAAGGAUGGACAAAAAAAUCCAGAAGCUGUAAACUUCGGUCCAGGAUCUGUUUCUGAGCUGUUCCCUUCUGCUUCAGUUUUGCUUGCAGUUGAUUCUGAGGAUUGUUUGUUUGCUUCAAAAAGUGGAAGUCACAGUUCAGGUGUACAGAUGCUGGAUGUCUACGACAUUCUUCCUUUUGAUAAUCCAGAUGGUGGCGUUUGGAAACAAGGAUUUGAUAUCACAUACAAUGAAAAUGAAUGGGACAGCGAACCACUUCAAGUUUUUGUUGUGCCUCACUCACAUAAUGAUCCAGGUUGGCUGAAGACUUUUGAUGAUUACUUCAGAGAUCAGACACAGCAUAUUUUAAAUAACAUGGUUAUAAAACUGCAAGAAGACAACCGAAGAAAAUUUAUAUGGUCUGAAAUUUCCUACUUUUCAAAAUGGUGGGAUGGAAUAGACAGCCAAAAAAAAGAUGCUGUUAAGAGGUUAAUAAAAGAUGGACAAUUUGAAAUUGUAACAGGAGGAUGGGUCAUGCCUGAUGAAGCUUCUUCUCAUUAUUUUGCUUUAAUUGACCAGCUGAUAGAAGGACACCAGUGGCUAGAAAAGAACCUUGGAGUAAAACCAAAGUCUGGAUGGGCAAUCGAUCCAUUUGGGCAUUCACCAACAAUGGCCUACCUUCUGAAGCGCGCAGGAUUUUCCAAAAUGCUUAUACAGAGAGUUCAUUAUUCAAUUAAAAAACAUUUUUCAACACAAAAGACACUAGAAUUUUUUUGGAGACAGAACUGGGAUUUGGGAUCCAGUACAGAUAUUCUUUGUCAUAUGAUGCCUUUCUAUAGCUAUGAUGUUCCUCAUACUUGUGGCCCGGAUCCAAAAAUUUGCUGCCAGUUUGAUUUCAAACGACUUCCUGGAGGAAGAAUAAGUUGCCCCUGGAGAGUUCCACCAGAAGCCAUUCAUGCUGGAAAUAUUCAACACAGGGCUUGGCUUAUAUUAGAUCAAUAUAGGAAGAAGUCAAAGCUUUUCCGUACAAAAGUUCUGUUAGCUCCACUUGGGGAUGAUUUCCGCUACACCGAAAGCUCUGAAUGGGAUCAGCAGUACCAGAAUUAUCAGAAGCUGUUUGAUUAUAUGAAUUCUCGUCCUGAGUGGCAUGUUAAGGCCCAAUUUGGAACUUUAUCUGAUUACUUUGAAGCUCUGCUCAAAGAAAGCAAUUUGGGUGAAAAGAGCAGCAAUUCACUUUUUCCUGUUUUAAGUGGAGACUUCUUCACCUAUGCAGACAGAGAUCAUCAUUACUGGAGUGGGUACUUUACAUCACGACCCUUUUAUAAGCGCCUGGACAGAGUCUUGGAAUCCUACAUAAGGGCAGCUGAAAUUCUCUACUCAUUGGCUUUAGUACAGUCCAGUAAAUCUGAGAAGAUGAGUGUAUUUCCUUCUGUGGAUAAUUAUAAAUUGCUGACAGAAGCUAGGAGGAACCUUGGACUCUUCCAGCAUCAUGAUGCUAUUACAGGAACAGCCAAAGAUUGGGUAGUUGUGGAUUAUGGCACCAGGCUUUUCCAUUCAAUAAUGAAUUUGAAGAAAGUAAUAAUUGACUCUGUUCAUAUUCUUAUCCUAAAAGACAAAAGUGCUUAUAACUAUGACACAGCAACUCCACUCCUGAAGAUGGAUGAUGUUCAGGCUUCUCAAGAUUCUUUGCCACGCAAGACAAUUAUAAAGCUGACAUUGCAACCCAGAUACCUUUUGAUACAUAAUCCAACAGAACAGGAGCGAUUUUCAGUGGUUUCCGUCAAUGUGAAUUCACCCAGAGUCAAAUUAUUGUCUCCUUUGGGAAAGCCUGUUACUGUCCAGAUUAGUGCUGUUUGGGAUGGAGCAACUACAGUAUCACAUGAAGCUUAUCAGAUAUCUUUUGUGGCACAUCUGCCACCUCUUGGGAUUGGAGUUUAUCAGCUUCUGGAGGAUGAGAGUUCAGAAGCAGUUUUAGCUGACUAUAACAUAUAUGUAAGGAAUAGCAGACAGGAAAAGCCAGAUAGAGUUUUCAAGAUAAAAGAGAUGCAGCAUGCUGUGGAUAAUAUAAUCUUGGAAAAUGCAUACAUGAAACUGUGGUUUUCUGGAAUGUCUGGAUUACUGGAGAAAAUAAACAGCAAGGAAGAUGGUAAAAAUCAUCAAAUGAAGGUUGAGUUUGCUUGGUAUGGAACUACCAGUAACCGAGAUAAAAGUGGAGCUUAUCUCUUCUUACCAGAUGGAGAUGCCAAGCCUUAUAUUUUUACAGACCCACCUACCAUAAGAGUUGCUCAUGGAACGAUUUUCUCAGAAGUUGUUUGUUUUUUUCACCACGUGACACAUACCAUGCGGCUGUAUAAAAUCCAGGGUUUGGAAGGUCAGUCUCUUGAAGUUUCCAAUAUUGUGGACAUAAGAGGGGAAUAUAAUCGUGAACUUGCAAUGAGAAUUUCAUCCGACAUAAACAGUCAAAAUAGAUUCUAUACUGAUCUUAAUGGAUAUCAGAUCCAGCCUAGACUGACGAUGAGCAAGUUGCCUCUUCAAGCAAAUAUCUAUCCUAUGACUACCAUGGCUUAUAUCCAAGAAGCUGGCAUUCGUUUGACACUUCAUUCAGCUCAGUCUCUAGGUGUUGCAAGCUUGAAAAAUGGUCAGCUGGAAGUGAUCAUGGAUCGUCGGCUUAUGCAGGAUGACAACCGUGGCCUUGGACAAGGUGUUCAAGAUAACAAGAUUACAGCUAAUGUCUUCCGACUGCUGUUGGAAAGAAGACAUGGAACAGAUGUGAAUGAAGAGAAGGCACCAGUCAGUUUUCCAUCACUUCUUAGCCAUAUGACUUCUCUCUUCUUAAAUCAUCCUGUAAUUCCAAUGACAACAAAUGCAGAUUCAGGUGUCCCAGAGUUGAUAAGUACUUUUUCUCCACUGAUGUCGUCCAUGCCUUGUGACAUGCAUAUAGUCAAUCUGAGGACAAUCCAAGCAAAGUGUUUUUUUGUAGGUGGAUACCAAACCAUCUGAUGAAGCUGCUCUGAUUCUUCACAGAAAGGGAUUUGAUUGUAGAUUUUCAAACAGAGACACGGGUCUGCUCUGUUCUACCACUCAGGGAAAGAUAAAGGUGCAUAAACUCUUUAGCAAAUUCAGAGUGGAAAGUCUUACACCCACAUCUUUAUCUUUGAUGCAUUCACCUCCAGAUGCCAGAAAUAUAAGUGAAAUAAAUAUGAGUUCUAUGGAGAUAAAUACAUUCCGGAUUCG